GCUGGGCACAGAGGCAUGUACCUGUAUUCCCAGCUACUCAGAAGGCUAAGGUAGGGGGAUUGCUUGAGCCCAGGAGUUCUUGGCUUCCAAGUGCCAUGUUGACUGGGUACCUGCACUAAGUUUGGCAUUAAUAUGGUGACCUCCCAGGAGUAUGGGACCACCAGGUUGCCUAAGGAAGGUUGAACUGGCUCAGGUAGGAAAUGGAGCAGGUCAAAUGCCUGUGUUGAUCAGCAGUGGAAUCAGUAGAAAUUUAUCUUGGAUUAGUAGAGAACGAUUCAAGGUGGCAUCAUAGU
rnacentral:SRP_RNA from 1 species